rnacentral:siRNA from 1 species
UGAUUCCCAGGUACAUAACUGA